rnacentral:lncRNA from 1 species
AGCUGCGGUUUUCUUGUUACUCUUGGUGGUUGCCGCCACCUAGACGGUUUGGAGCAGCGGAGGAGCAUUGACACGAGUUGGUGAAUGUUCAUGGCCAUCUUCCGGUGAUUGUGAGGGGUCUUAUACCUUCCCCGGCGGAGAGCCGAAAGGUAACUCUAGUAAAGUGCUCGUGUCAUUGAGCUACCUCACUUGUGGGUAGGUUCUUGUGGUGUCCUAGUGAGGACAAGGUUCGUGCUACACCUCUUAGCCACCGAACCACCAAGUGUUGGUCGACACAACGGGGACGUAGCGUGCCGGCAAGCACGUGAACCUCGGGAGAAAAAUUGGUGUCUCAAUUGUAUUUGAUUGGCAUUCUCCCGUUGCUUGAUUGUUUAUAUUGGUGAUUGGUUCAUCCCCUAUACGGCGGUAUAAAUAUCUCAUCCUAUCUUUACUUACGCAAACUAGUGUAAUUAGUUUAGUUGCUUACUUUGCCUUGUGUAGCAUAUUUCGCUAGUGUAACUUGUAGAGACUUAGUUCUUGUGUGCAUAGUAAUUGUAGCAACUAGAAUUGUUGGGUAGGUGGCUUGCAAACACUCCUUUAGAGCUAGAGCAAAAAGCUUCGCUUUGUUUCUUACUAACCACUUGCUCUAGUGAGUUCGUAGAUGUUUUUUAAAUAGGCUAUUCACCCCCCUCUAGCCAUAUUAGGACCUUUCACGUUCAUUUGUCGAUUGUUCAUUUAUAGAAGUUGUUCUUUUAUUCAGUUUCAGUUCUGUUUUUUAGGGUCAGUGGAUUAAUAUUUAUGUUAUUUAGAAAGCUUGCUUUAUCGGAGUUAAAUAACUUGUUACCUAGUACCACCGCCAUUUAUUUUUCGAGUGUAGUCUUUUGUGUUAUCUUUUAAAUUUGUCUUGUAGAUUUUAGUUGGAUGGUUCCAUUAACUUGUAGUUUAUUUUAUGCAGAGGGCAAGUUUUUGGUAAUCUGAUUCCAUUCGUUACUAGUUUUGUCAACAGUUGAGUUUCAAAAGUUGUUUUUUUUUGUUUAGGUCUUGUUUACUUCCACCCAAAAAUCCAAAAUUUUUCAAGAUUUCCUGUCGCAUCGAAUCUUUAGACGCAUGCAUGAAGUUUUAAAUAUAGAUGAAAAUAAAAACUAAUUGCACAGUUUGAUCGGAAUUGACGAGACGAAUCUUUUGAGCCUAGUUAGUCCAUGGUUAGAUAAUAAUUACCACAAAUAAACGAAAAUGCUACAGUAUCACGAAAUUUUUUUGCUUUAGGAACUAAACAAGGCCUUAGUCAAGUUAUUUGUUCAAUUCACUUCAAUGAGUUUUAAGAUUUAGUGUUUCUUUUUAUUUUUCAUUUUCACUUUUAUUUUUAUUUUUGAUGGGGAGCAGAGGUUUAGCUCUGGGAAGGAUCCAACGCCCAACUUAUGUAGUUGCCAAGGCAAGAGCUGCAACCCCCUUUGGUCCUUCUAUUCCCUCCUCUUCUCUCAUCUACUAGAGGCAGACGAAGAUGUUGUAUUCUUCUAUGUUUUAUUUUCUUCAUCCGAGGUGUUUUUUUAAAAAAAAUUAAGAACAUGCGACGUCUUUGCAGAAAAGAUUAAGGCAAGACUUGCCCCAAUAAAUCCAAUUCAUCCUCUAAGUAGAAAAGAAGUUGAGAAGGAUGGCAUUGAUGUUAUCAGCGAGGUUUUUUUUCUCUCCUUGUUUUUAUUGGUUAGUUCAACCUAAUUUAACCUUUUUAAAGUUCUGUGCAUUUAUCCUAGUUGUUCGGACUUUGAGAAAAUUGAUUUCAUUUUGAAUGGUUUGAUAAUUUAUUUGGCUUCAUAUUGUGUUUAUCUUUUAAAAAAAUUCUUAGGUUAUUCAAAAUAACCCCAUAUAUGCACCUGUGAAAUAUGCUAACAAAAUUCUUGGUGGUUUGGAUUCUGCUAAAUCAUUUGUAAGGGUAAGUAUAAUUUUUAAUUUGUUUUGCUUUCAACUAUUCUUAAUCCUUAAAAGUUUUGUCUUAGUUUUCUUGUUUCAUCAUUUUUUUCUUGGCGGUCAAGUUGAUUUUUUAUGUUUCACAUGAGGAUGUGAGGUGUCUCUUUCCUCUCUCUAAAGUGAAUGGAUCACAUCUUGUGGAGAUCGGUAGUAGGAUGUGAUCUCAUUGUUUGAGAUCUGGUUGUCAGCGGUUUGUUUUUCAAUCACGUUUUUUUACUGUGCUUGGUUGGUUAAUUUCUGGUUGUUUUAUUGUCCCAUAUCUUCUACUCCUUCCAUUUCAAAUUGUAAGUCGUUUGACUUUUUUUACCCCAAGUUUGACUACUCGUCUUAUUCAAAAAAUUUGUGCAAAUAUAGUCAAAUUUAAGUCAUUCUUGAAGAACUUUUAUUAAUAAACCAAUACACAAAAAAAAAGUGAUAUUUUGUACAAAACUUUGAAUAAGACGAGUGGUCAAACUUGAUAUUAAAAAAGUCAAACGACUUAUAAUUUGGGAUGGAUUGAGUAGAUUUUAUAUCAGUUUGAUUUGUGACGUGUCAGUCUUUGGUUGGUUGAAAAUCUGGUUGAUUUAAUAAAAUAAAAUCAACUGAAAGUUGUGUAGUCA